UCUUCUUCAAAUUCAAAAUGUAGAACACGUCCAGCGCAUUCUUAGUGUUGAACCUGAAACGGUCCAUUAAAUCGGACGCCAUGUUUACCCAGCUUGUCCACUUCUUCGCAUCCUGGCUGAUGUACCAAGAUAAAGCAUCCCCUUUCAAACUUCUCAUGAAUAGUUUCAUGGGGAUCUUCUCAUCCUUACCAACUCCCACUAAUUUGUCACAAUACAUUAUGAGGUGAACCCUGGGAUCACCUGUACCAUCGAACAUCUCGAACUUAGGAGGUUUGUACCCCUCCGGGAGUUCGACAUCAGGCUAAACACAAAGGUAUUCAUAAUUCAAACUAUCCACACCCUUAUCACCUUCCACACAUUGGACCCUGUAAAUGAGUUUCUUGAGUUCCACCGCCAAGUUCUGCAUUAGUGAAUCUGACUCUGAAAUAUCAGGUAUGGGCUAUGUAUAAUGGGGCACAGUAUCCACAAAGAUAGGGGUAUCCUGGUGGUUUAGAGCAUUCUGAGGCUUAGGGAUGAGCGGUGGAGCAUUGUUGCGAACCUGGG
rnacentral:lncRNA from 1 species